rnacentral:rRNA from 1 species
UGGGGAAUCUUGGACAAUGGGCGCAAGCCUGAUCCAGCCAUGCCGCGUGAGUGAAGAAGGCCUUCGGGUUGUAAAGCUCUUUUGUCAGGGACGAUAAUGACGGUACCUGAAGAAUAAGCCCCGGCAAACUUCGUGCCAGCAGCCGCGGUAAUACGAAGGGGGCUAGCGUUGUUCGGAAUCACUGGGCGUAAAGGGAGUGUAGGCGGUAAGGUGUGUUCGGCGUGAAAGACCUCGGCUUAACCGGGGAAGUGCACUGAAUACUACCUUACUUGAGUGUGAGAGGGGAUGGCGGAAUUGUCAGUGUAGAGGUGAAAUUCGUAGAUACUGGCAAGAACACCAGUGGCGAAGGCGGCUAACUGGUCCGGUACUGACGCUGAGGUGCGAAAGCGUGGGGAGCAAACAGGAUUAGAUACCCUUGUAGUCCCUGAGCGGGCUGGCAAGGCGCAU